CACGCACGCACUCCCGCACUCCCACGGGAGACUGCUUGGCCCGGAGCGCUCUUGAUCACGCCGCGGCGGGUGGUGGCGCUCACACUAACUAUAGCUAUCCAGGGCGCGGGUCGAGUGGCGAGACCAGCUCCCCUGGGUAUGAGAACGCAUCUUUGUGCGGUCGGCUGGCUGGGGCCUGAAGAGCUUCCUCCUGUGUGUUCAACUGAACGCAGCAAAAGUCUUGGGCAGAUUCCAUGGAGCAGCUGUGGAAGCACUGUGCAGGGAAUCGAAGAAGGAAACACCUCCGGCGACCACAAAACAAAAUUGAAGAACUAUAAAACAAUAUAGGCCGGGCGUGGUGGCUCACGUAUGUAAUUCUCAGCGCUUUGGGAGGCCGAAGCGGGAGGAUCCCUCGAAGCCAGGAGUUGGAGGAUCCCAUGUUGCCAGACUGGGCAACAUAGCAAGACCCCAUCUCUAAAAAAUAAAAAUAAAAAAAUUUAACAAUUAGCCAGGUGUGGUGGCACACACCUGUGAUCCCAGCUGCUCGGGAGGCUGAGACAGGAGAAUCGCCUGAGCCUGGGAGAUCAAUGCUACAGUGAGCUUAGAUCGUGCCACUGCACUCCAGCCUGGGCGACAGAGUGAGAUCCUGCCUCUAAGAAAGAAAAAUAACGGCCGGGCGUGGUGGCUCAGGCCUGUAAUCCCAGCACUUUGGGAGGCCAGAGCAGGUGGAUCAUCUGAGGUCAGGAGUUCAAAACCAGCCUGGCCAACAUGAUGAGACCCCUUCUCUACUGAAAAUACAAAGAUUAGCCAGGUGUGGUGGCACGUGACUGUAAUCCCAGCUACUCGGGAGGCCGAGGCAGGAGAAUCGCUUGAACCCGGGAGGCGGAGGUUGCAGUGAGCCGACAUUGCACCACUGCACUCCAGCCUGGGGGACAGAGGCUGCACCACUGCAGCCUUGACUUACCGGGUUCAGGUGGUUCUCCACCUCAGCCUUGCCACUAGCUGGGACUGCAGGCACAUGGAACCACACCUGGCUAAUUUUUGUAGUUUUUGUAGACGGGAUUUUGCCAUGUUGCCCAGGCUGGUCUCGAACUCCUGGGCUCAAGUGAUCCGCCCGCCUCAGUCUCCCAAAGUGCUAGGAUUACAGGUGUGAGUCACUGCACUCGGCUAAUAGUAAUGAACUUUGAACAGAAGGAAAGUUGUUAUUAUUUUCUUGGUUAUGUUCUAUCUAUAUUUUCUAAUUUUUCUAAACAUGUAAAGAUAAAAUUCUAAAAACUCAGACCUCAGAACAAAAAAAUUAGAGUAUAAAUAUUUAUUUUAGUUAACUUGUACAAAUUUGGUUUCUGGAAAAAGAAUGGAAUAGAUUUUCUGAGAAAAAAAAUCCACCACUUUGGCCGGGCGCAGUGGUUUACGCGUGUAAUGCCUGCACUUUGGGAGGCUGAGGCGGUGGAUCACCUGAGGUGAGGAGUUCAAGACCAGCCUGACCGACAUGAAGAAACCCCUGUCUCUACUAAAAAUACAAAAAUUAGUCAGGCCUGGUGGCACGCACCUGUAAUCCCAGCUACUCAGGAGGCUGAGGCUGGAGAAUCGCUUGAACCCAGGAGGCAGAGGUUGCAGUGAGCUGAGAUCGCACCAUAGCGCUCCAGCCUGGGUGACAAAAGGAAAACUCUGUCUCAAAAAGAAAGAAAGAAAAGCAGACUGGCUGAAAGGAUUGAAGAACAAAAUAUGAUCCACCAAUGUGCUAUCUACAAGAUAAACAUUUUAAAUACAGAAACAGAUUGAAAGUAAAGGGAUACAAAGAUACAAUUAAAAUAGUAACCAAAAAAGAGCUGAAGGGGCUGUACUAAUAUCAAAUGUAAUACACUUUAAAUUAAAGCAGGGCUGGGCAUGGUAGCUCAGGCCUGCAAUCCCAGCACUUUGGGAGGUGGAGGCAGAGAGACACUUGAGCCCAGAAGUUCGAGAUCAGCCUGAGCAACAUGGCAUAAUCCCAUCUCUACAAAAAAUACAAAAAUUAGGCGGGCAUGGUGGUACCCACCUGUGGUCCCAGCUAUUUGGGAGGCUGAGGUGGGAGGAUCAUGUGAGCUGGGGAAGUUGAGGCCGCAGUGAGCUAAGAUCGGGCCCCUGCACUCCACCCUGGGCAACAGAGCGAGACCCUGUCUGAAAAUAAAAAAAAAUAAAAAACGGGGUUGAGAGACAAAAAAGGACAUCCUUUUUUUUAUUAUUGUAUUUUGAGAUGGAGUUUCGCUCGUUGCCCAGGCUGGAGUGCAAUCGUGUGAUCUUGGCUCACUGCAACCUCCGCCUCCCGGGUUCAAGUGAUUGUCGUGCCUCAGGCUCCCGAGUAGCUGGCAUUACAUGUGCCUGCCAUCACGCCCAGCUAAUUUUUGUAUUUUGGUACAGACGGGGUUUCACCAUGUUGGCCAGGGUGGUCUCCAACUACUGACCUCAGGUGAUCCACCUGCCUUGGCCUCCCAAAAUGCUGGGACUACAGACAUGAGCCACCGCGCCAGCCGAAACCUUCAUUUUAAAAAAGGCUGGGUCAGGCAUCAUGCCUCAUGCCUGUAAUCCCAGCACUUUGAGAGGGCAACGCAGGCGGAUCACCUGACGUCAGGAGUUCGAGACCAGACUGACCAACAUGGUGAAACCCCG
rnacentral:lncRNA from 10 species